UACGUAGGGUGCGAGCGUUGUCCGGAUUUAUUGGGCGUAAAGAGCUCGUAGGCGGUUUGUCGCGUCGGCCGUGAAAUCUCCACGCUUAACGUGGAGCGUGCGGUCGAUACGGGCAGACUUGAGUUCGGUAGGGGAGACUGGAAUUCCUGGUGUAGCGGUGAAAUGCGCAGAUAUCAGGAGGAACACCGGUGGCGAAGGCGGGUCUCUGGGCAUUACCUGACGCUGAGGAGCGAAAGUGUGGGGAGCGAACAGG
rnacentral:rRNA from 1 species